GUGCCGAGAGGGCGGGCCUGGGCGGGGCGUCCGGGCGACCGGGCCGGGGCAACACACCCCUUUGCUAUGUAGAGUCGGUUCUGCAUUUUCUCUUUGCUUAGUAAAAAGCUCAUACCCUUUUGCCUCAGCUGACGGCACAAGGUUUCAUUUUCCCGAGGGCGGUGCGGCGCGGGAAAAGAGGCCACGGCCCGCAAAGCCUGAGCAUCGUGGGAGGAUCAGGUGGGCGGAACUGAAGCGACCCUGUCGGGUUUGCGCCCGGCGCGCUGCGUCGGGAGCUGCACACCAGGCCGGACCCGCUCGGGAGCCGAGCACCUUCGGGUUAAAGCCGGCUCGGAGAGGGGUCUUUGGCGCAGGACUCCGGCACGGUGCACCUGCUCGGUUUUUCCAGAUUACGAAGAAGCGGAGGGAGGCGGUGGUGUUUUGUUGUUUUGUCUGGGGUGGAGGGAUGGAGUUUGUACAGCUGCAGUAGACUUAGCCAAAGCUGCCGGAGCAAAAUCUGAAUCUGACAAUAGAGAUGAUGUCCCCCUCCUCCCUUCCCUGAUGGUAAUUUAGAUCUGGAGUUUUGUGUUAAGAAAUAAAUGGGGCUCGCAUCCCUUCUUCCUA